rnacentral:rRNA from 1 species
CCAACAGGGAUUGCCUCAGUAACGGCGAGUGAAGCGGCAACAGCUCAAAUUUGAAAUCUGGCCUAGCCCGAGUUGUAAUUUGCAGAGGAUGCUUCGGGCGCGGCGCCUUCCCAAGUCCCCUGGAACGGGGCGCCUUGGAGGGUGAGAGCCCCGUACGGUCGGACGCCUAGCCCGUGUGAAGCUCCUUCGACGAGUCGAGUAGUUUGGGAAUGCUGCUCUAAAUGGGAGGUAGACCCCUUCUAAAGCUAAAUACCGGCCAGAGACCGAUAGCGCACAAGUAGAGUGAUCGAAAGAUGAAAAGCACUUUGAAAAGAGGGUUAAACAGCACGUGAAAUUGUUGAAGGGGAAGCGCUUGUGACCAGACUUGCGCCGGGGCGAUCAUCUGGCGUUCUCGCCGGUGCACUCGCCCCGGCUCAGGCCAGCGUCGGUUCGGAUGGGGGGAUAAAGGCGUCGGGAACGUGGCUCCCCCGGGAGUGUUAUAGCCCGUCGCGUCAUGCCCUCGCCCGGACCGAGGUUCGCGCUCUGCAAGGACGCUGGCGUAAUGGUCACCAGCGGCCCGUCUUGAAACACGGACCAAGGAGUCGAGGUUCUGCGCGAGUGUUUGGGUGCCAAACCCGCACGCGUAAUGAAAGUGAACGUAGGUGAGAGCUUCGGCGCAUCACCGACCGAUCCUGAUGUCUUCGGAUGGAUUUGAGUAAGAGCGUAGGGCCUCGGACCCGAAAGAUGGUGAACUAUGCUUGGAUAGGGUGAAGCCAGAGGAAACUCUGGUGGAGGCUCGCAGCGGUUCUGACGUGCAAAUCGAUCGUCAAAUCUGAGCAUGGGGGCGAAAGACUAAUCGAACCAU